rnacentral:rRNA from 1 species
UACGUAGGGUGCGAGCGUUGUCCGGAAUUAUUGGGCGUAAAGAGCUCGUAGGCGGCUUGUCGCGUCGGAUGUGAAAGCCCGGGGCUUAACCCCGGGUCUGCAUUCGAUACGGGCAGGCUAGAGUUCGGUAGGGGAGAUCGGAAUUCCUGGUGUAGCGGUGAAAUGCGCAGAUAUCAGGAGGAACACCGGUGGCGAAGGCGGAUCUCUGGGCCGAUACUGACGCUGCGGAGCGAAAGCGUGGGGAGCGAACAGG